AGCAGCCGCGGUAAUUCCAGCUCCAAUAGCGUAUAUUAAAGUUGUUGCAGUUAAAAAGCUCGUAGUUGAAUUUCGGGAUCAAUAUGUUGGUCGUGCCUUGGUACGUACUGGCGUUAUCGAUUCCUACCUUCUGAAGAACCUCGAUGUCAUUAAUUUGGUGUCUUGGGGAAUCAGGACUGUUACUUUGAAGAAAUUAGAGUGUUUAAAGCAGGCUCGCGCUUGAAUACAUUAGCAUGGAAUAAUGAAAUAGGACGUUUGAUUCUAUUUUGUUGGUUUCUAGGAUCGACGUAAUGAUUAAUAGGGAUAGUUGGGGGCAUUAGUAUUCAAUUGUCAGAGGUGAAAUUCUUGGAUUUAUUGAAGACUAACUACUGCGAAAGCAUUUGCCAAGGAUGUUUUCAUUAAUCAAGAACGAAAGUUAGGGGAUCGAAGACGAUCAGAUACCGUCGUAGU
rnacentral:rRNA from 1 species